AAAGGAAUUGACGGGGACCCGCACAAGCAGCGGAGCAUGUGGUUUAAUUCGAAGCAACGCGAAGAACCUUACCAAGACUUGACAUCUUCUGCCGAGUAUGGAAACAUACUUUUCCUUCGGGACAGAAAGACAGGUGGUGCAUGGUUGUCGUCAGCUCGUGUCGUGAGAUGUUGGGUUAAGUCCCGCAACGAGCGCAACCCCUAUAAACAGUUGCCAAUAUUAAGUUAGGGACUCUGUUUAGACUGCCGUGGAUAACACGGAGGAAGGUGGGGAUGACGUCAAAUCAUCAUGCCCCUUACGUCUUGGGCUACACACGUGCUACAAUGGCUAUUACAAAGAGCAGCUAGACGGUAACGUUAAGCAAAUCUCAAAAAGGUAGUCUCAGUUCGGAUUGUGGGCUGCAACUCGCCCACAUGAAGUCGGAGUUGCUAGUAAUCCCGAAUCAGAACGUCGGGGUGAAUGCGUUCCCGGGUCUUGUACACACCGCCCGU
rnacentral:rRNA from 1 species